CUUCGGCUCCGCUACUUUGCGUGGUUUUCAGUCCUGUAAGAAGGGUCGCUACUCUGAGGUCUCUAACAAAAGACGGAUAUCUAAAAAUAUGUUUUGAGCAGACUUACAUCCAUUGCUGCAGCACUGGUUUCCAUGCUCUGCUGGUGACUCCUCAGAAGCAGCUGUAAAUCCUCCAGGCUCAUGUCAACAUUCUCCACACCAUCAGGAAUCUCUGAUCUUACAUAUAAAUUAAAAUAGAUUUUUCAGUGAACUGAAAUAUCCUCGGCCCUCUAGGACGGACUGUACCAUGGCAACAGGGAGGACGGGGGGUUCAG